rnacentral:tRNA from 1 species
AGCUCAGUUGGUAGAGCAGCCGAUUUGUAAUCGGCAGGUCGCGGGUUCAAAUCCUGUCGCCAGCUCCA